CUGGUUGAUCCUGCCAGUAGUCAUAUGCUUGUCUCAAAGAUUAAGCCAUGCAUGUCUAAGAAUAAACCCUUGAACGGUGAAUCUGCGAAUGGCUCAUUAAAUCAGUUAUUGUUUAUUUGAUGGUACCUUACUACUUGGAUAACCGUAGUAAUUCUAGAGCUAAUACAUGCGCCAAGCCCUGACUUCGGAAAGGGUGCAUUUAUUAGAUUCAAACCAUCGGUCCGUCUGGGCAACUGGGCGUGGCCUUUGAUGGUGAGUCAUAAUAACUUAGCGAAUCGAAUGGCCUUGAGCCGUCGAUGCUUCAUUCAAAUUUCUGCCCUAUCAGCUUUCGAUGGUAGGAUCUUGGCCUACCAUGGCUAUAACGGGUAACGGGGAAUUAGGGUUCGAUUCCGGAGAGGGAGCUUGAGAAACGGCUACCACAUCCAAGGAUGGCAGCAGGCGCGCAAAUUACUCAAUCCUGACACGGGGAGGUAGUGACAAUAAAUAACGAUGCUGGAUUAUUCUUAAUCCGGCAGUUGGAAUGAGAGUGAAUUAAAUCUCCACUCGAGGAACCAUUGGAGGGCAAGUCUGGU
rnacentral:rRNA from 1 species